rnacentral:tRNA from 1 species
GCUGGUGACGGAUAUGGUGUUGCACUCCCUUGGUAAGGGAGAGGUCGAGAGUUCAAUUCUCUCCAGCAGCACCA